UACAGAGGUCUCAAGCGUUGUUCGGAUUCACUGGGCGUAAAGGGUGCGUAGGUGGCGCUGUAAGUCGGGUGUGAAAUCUCGGAGCUUAACUCCGAAACUGCAUUCGAUACUGCGGUGCUUGAGGACUGGAGAGGAGACUGGAAUUCAUGGUGUAGCGGUGAAAUGCGUAGAGAUCAUGAGGAAGACCAGUGGCGAAGGCGGGUCUCUGGACAGUUCCUGACACUGAGGCACGAAGGCCAGGGGAGCAAACGGG
rnacentral:rRNA from 1 species